AAGUCGUAACAAGGUAACCGUAGGUGAACCUGCGGUUGGAUCAUUAAAAACACCAAGCGUGUCCGAGUAAAAUUGGACUACGUUCCCUCACGGGUAAAAACAUAUUGUGAACCGUCAUGUCUCUGGCGGGUGGGCAGUGAAAACUGCUUGUCAGCACAUGGGUGAAAGCCCGGUGCCGUGGACAGCCCGUCAACCAGCCCGGACAUUUUUGUCUGGGUUACCCUACCUUUAAUUGAUGCCUGACAAUACUUGUAUGAAAAAUUACAAAACAACUUUUGGCAACGGAUCUCUUGGCUCUC
rnacentral:misc_RNA from 2 species